AGUGAACGCUGGCGGUAGGCCUAACACAUGCAAGUCGAACGGCAGCACAGUAAGAGCUUGCUCUUACGGGUGGCGAGUGGCGGACGGGUGAGGAAUACAUCGGAAUCUACUUUUUCGUGGGGGAUAACGUAGGGAAACUUACGCUAAUACCGCAUACGACCUACGGGUGAAAGCAGGGGAUCUUCGGACCUUGCGCGAUUGAAUUAGCCGAUGUCGGAUUAGCUAGUUGGCGGGGUAAAGGCCCACCAAGGCGACGAUCCGUAGCUGGUCUGAGAGGAUGAUCAGCCACACUGGAACUGAGACACGGUCCAGACUCCUACGGGAGGCAGCAGUGGGGAAUAUUGGACAAUGGGCGCAAGCCUGAUCCAGCCAUACCGCGUGGGUGAAGAAGGCCUUCGGGUUGUAAAGUCCUUUUGUUGGGAAAGAAAAGCAGCAGGUUAAUACCCCGCUGUUCUGACGGUACCCAAAGAAUAAGCACCGGCUAACUUCGUG
rnacentral:rRNA from 1 species